AUACGAAGGGAGCUAGCGUUGUUCGGAAUUACUGGGCGUAAAGGGCGCGUAGGCGGCUCUGUAAGUCAGAUGUGAAAGCCCCGGGCUUAACCUGGGAACUGCAUUUGAUACUGCAGAGCUAGAGAUCGAGAGAGGAAAGUGGAAUUACGAGUGUAGAAGUGAAAUUCGUAGAUAUUCGUAGGAACACCAGUGGCGAAGGCGACUUUCUGGCUCGAUACUGACGCUAAAGCGCGAAAGCGUGGGGAGCAAACAGGAUUAGAUACCCUGGUAGUCCACGCUGUAAACGAUGAGUGCUAGAUGUUAGGAGGGUAACCUUUUAGUGUCGCAGCUAACGCAAUAAGCACUCCGCCUGGGGAGUACGGUCGCAAGAUUAAA
rnacentral:rRNA from 1 species